GUGAGUCAUCGAAUCUUUGAACGCACCUUGCGCCCUUUGGUAUUCCGAAGGGCAUGCCUGUUUGAGUGUCAUUAAAUUAUCAACUCUGAAAACUUUGUUGUUCUCAGAGCUUGGACUUGGAGUGUGCCGGACCCCUAACAGGGCUCAGCUCCUCUUGAAAUGCAUAUGCGGAACCUUUGAUUGCGGACCAGCUCCAGCGUGAUAAUUAUCUACGUUGCGGCAGCGAAGCAGUUGGAUCUGCCUAUAAUUGUUGCCUUGCGCAACAGGGACUUCACAGCCCCUAUCUUUGACAAUUUGACC
rnacentral:misc_RNA from 1 species